rnacentral:rRNA from 1 species
UACGUAGGUGGCAAGCGUUGUCCGGAUUUAUUGGGUUUAAAGGGUGCGUAGGCGGCCCUGUAAGUCAGUGGUGAAAUACUCUAGCUUAACUAGAGGGGUGCCAUUGAUACUGCAGGGCUUGAGUACAGAUGAGGUAGGCGGAAUUGACGGUGUAGCGGUGAAAUGCAUAGAUAUCGUCAAGAACUCCGAUAGCGAAGGCAGCUUACUAAGCUGUAACUGACGCUGAUGCACGAAAGCGUGGGGAGCGAACAGG